rnacentral:tRNA from 1 species
GCCCGCCUAGCUCAAUCGGAUAGAGCGUCAGACUCUUACCGUCUGUAAAGUGGGUGUAAUCUGAAGGCUGCGAGUUCGACCCUCGCGGUGGGCU